rnacentral:rRNA from 1 species
UACGUAGGGGGCAAGCGUUGUCCGGAUUUAUUGGGCGUAAAGAGCGUGUAGGCGGCUUGGUAGGUCUCGCGUCAAAACCUGAGGCUCAACCUCAGUUCGCGUGGGAAACCACCUAGCUAGAGUCCGGAAGAGGAGAACGGAAUUCCUGGUGUAGCGGUGAAAUGCGCAGAUAUCAGGAGGAACACCGGUGGCGAAGGCGGAUCUCUGGGCCGUAACUGACGCUGAGGAGCGAAAGCAUGGGGAGCGAACAGG